rnacentral:rRNA from 1 species
CUUCAGUGCUGCAGCAAACGCAUUAAGCACUCCGCUGGGGAGUACGACCGCAAGGUUGAAACUCAAAGGAAUUGACGGGGGCCCGCACAGCGGUGGAGCAUGUGGUUUAAUUCGAAGCAACGCGAAGAACCUUACCAGGUCUUGACAUCCUUUGACCACUCUAGAGAUAGAGCUUUCCCUUCGGGGACAAAGUGACAGGUGGUGCAUGGUUGUCGUCAGCUCGUGUCGUGAGAUGUUGGGUUAAGUCCCGCAACGAGCGCAACCCUUAUUGUUAGUUGCCAUCAUUUAGUUGGGCACUCUAGCGAGACUGCCGGUGACAAACCGGAGGAAGGUGGGGAUGACGUCAAAUCAUCAUGCCCCUUAUGACCUGGGCUACACACGUGCUACAAUGGGAAGUACAACGAGUCGCUAGGCCGCGAGGUCAUGCAAAUCUCUUAAAGCUUCUCUCAGUUCGGAUUGUAGGCUGCAACUCGCCUACAUGAAGCCGGAAUCGCUAGUAAUCGCGGAUCAGCACGCCGCGGUGAAUACGUUCCCGGGCCUUGUACACACCGCCCGUCACACCACGAAAGUUUGUAACACCCAAAGUCGGUGAGGUAACCUUCGGGAGCCAGCUGCCUAAGGUGGGAUAGAUGAUUGGGGUGAAGUCGUAACAAGGUAACCA